rnacentral:rRNA from 1 species
CCAAUAGCGUAUAUUAAAGUUGUUGCAGUUAAAAAGCUCGUAGUUGAAUUUCGGGAUCAAUGUGUUGGUCGUGCCUUGGUACGUACUGGCAUUAUCGAUUCCUACCUUCUGAAGAACCUCGAUGUCAUUAAUUUGGUGUCUUGGGGAAUCAGGACUGUUACUUUGAAAAAAUUAGAGUGUUUAAAGCAGGCUCGCGCUUGAAUACAUUAGCAUGGAAUAAUGAAAUAGGACGUUUGAUUCUAUUUUGUUGGUUUCUAGGAUCGACGUAAUGAUUAAUAGGGAUAGUUGGGGGCAUUAGUAUUCAAUUGUCAGAGGUGAAAUUCUUGGAUUUAUUGAAGACUAACUACUGCGAAAGCAUUUGCCAAGGAUGUUUUCAUUAAUCAAGAACGAAAGUUAGGGGAUCGAAGACGAUCAGAUACCGUCGUAGUCUUAACCAUAAACCAUGCCGACUAGGGAUCGGAUGAUGUUAAUUUUUUAAUGACUCAUUCGGCGCCUUACG